rnacentral:lncRNA from 1 species
AAAAGUCCGUGCAAUUUAACGGUCUCUUUUACCUUGAAAACCGAACAGAGUGGACGUUAAAAAAUUAAGACCCAUCCUCUCCCACCCUUAAGAAUUGAACUUUGUUUGCUGCUGGUUUUAUUUAUUUUUCAGAUGCUCCAGUCUUCAUACAAACAUCCGUCAUGGUAACAUGCUGAAGCAGUCACACAACCGGAGCGAAAUUUACUUCAUUUUAUGCAGACUAUGGAUAGCCCAGCUGCUAAUUCUGAAAUAUUGCUGAAUGGACCGCCCUUCAGUACACCAGCUUUGGAUCGCCCAGCUGUGAUACAAUGAUUAGUUCAAUCGUCAUCAACAUUUUAUUGAUUGACAAAAUAUUUUGGUUGUGUACUGUUGUUGUAACAGUUGUUGUUGUUUUAUGAAUGAAUUUUGAUUAAAUGUUGCCAUGACAAUUCAAUAUCCAAACAAAAUCAGUGUUUGUUAUUUGUUGUAGUGAAAUUCAAAUCAAGGCAUCAAUGGCGUCUGUUCGUCAAUUCUGAUAAUUGGUUAAUUUACACCAAGUGAUAUUUUUGAUUAAACGAUAUAUUCAAUAAUAGAAAUUAAUUAAAUGAAAAUUAAAUUCAUUUAUUGAAUUAACAUAUACAUGUAUUGAGACUCGACAAAUCGAGUCGUCCUUACUCUUAUUAUGCUAAUUUAAGCAUGUGACAGCCGAGUAGUAAAAGUCCGUGCAAUUUAACGGUCUCUUUUACCUUGAAAACCGAACAGAGUGGACGUUAAAAAAUUAAGACCCAUCCUCUCUCACCCUUAAGAAUUGAACUUUGUUUGCUGCUGGUUUUAUUUAUUUUUCAGAUGCUCCAGUCUUCAUACAAAUAUCCGUCAUGGUAACAUGCUGAAGCAGUCACACAACCGGAGCGAAAUUUACUUCAUUUUAUGCAGACUAUGGAUAGCCCAGCUGCUAAUUCUGAAAUAUUGCUGAAUGGGCCGCCCUUCAGUACACCAGCUUUGGAUCGCCCAGCUGUG